rnacentral:rRNA from 1 species
AUGUUCUACUCCAAGACGAUGCUGUCCAAGAAGGGCCCGCUGGGCGCGGUGUGGGUGGCGGGCGUCCGCGGCGUCGCCGCGCUCACCAGGGACCAGGUCCUGCGCACCGACGUCGCCUCCUCCGUCGACAAGAUUUUGCCCGACGUUGAAACCACAUACAGAAUACUUGGGCUGCUUCUGCUUGGCGUUGUUAGGAUUUACUCCAAGAAGGUGGAAUACCUCUGCUAUGACAGCAAUCAGUUUUUUGAAUCAACUGUAAGAGGGAAGAAAGUUCUAAAGCGAGGGAAGAAAGGUGCUUGUGCAAGAAGAUUGGUGCUAGACCAAGAAGACACUAGAAGAGCGAAAAGAGUUGCUGUAGUUCAAGUCCCAGGAUUGGACGAACCAGCUGACCUUCCACCAAUCUUCACCGUACCCAAAAGAUUUGAGCUCGACUCUUUUGAUUUGCAGAUACCUGAAGACAGAGAGGAUGACAAUGAUGAUCAUCACCAAUUGCCUCGUCAAGAUACUUUGCUGGAAGAUGAACAUCAGCGUAUGCCAAAUUUUUACGAGUCUUAUCAGGGGAUGCCAUAUGCUGAUCUGGACUCUGCUUACGUUGUGCCAGUAUGCAUCAUCCCAGCUGAAAUGAUCAGUGUCACUGAUGAAGUCACCGAUCUUCUGUACUUGAGUAACAUAGGGGAUGAACUUGAAAAUGAAAGUCAGAAUGCUGAUCCUGCUUGCUUUACACCAGUGAAGGAUGUUCUUCCACCUGAGGCGAUGGAUAUGAUGGCUGAAGUAAGUGAGCUUCCAGAGAAAAGCAAAGAGGUGAAGAAAGCUAGAAGAGAAGUGAAUGGUGAAGAGAAUGGUGAUCCGUCUUGUUCUACCCCUUUGCCGGAGAAUCAAGAAAUGCAAAGACCUGUGAAUGCUGUGGAGAAUGUGGUGUCUGCAGAUCUUGAUGAAAAUCAUCCUGUAGUCGAAGAAUCAGAAAAUGGGUUAGCGGUAGGAAAACCGAACACAACACUAUCUGUAGAAAUUCCUGACAUCGAGGAACAAGAGUCUCUGGAACCUUCCACUCCAGAGCCCUUGCGAGAGGGAGCCUCAGAAAAAUUUGGUGUUGCAACACCUGCUCAAAAUGAGAAGCGCCAGGUUACCAGAAAAAGGAGGAGGGGGUUAUACAAUAAGAGAAAAGUUUGGGUGUUGUGGGAUGAGAAUGUUGUCCUUGAUAAUGACACGAUGAGAGAAAUUGUAGACGGGGUUGGUGUAGAGGAUCUAGUUGUCAAAAGAAGGAAGGCGCCUCACACUCGCCAUCAGAUUUGGAGGGAGUCAAGAUUUCGUUCUCUGCAGGAUACUUUCAUGGAGCCAAUUCUUCAGUGUGAUAACAUUGAGCCAAUUCUUCAAUAUUCGACUACAGUGCGCCUUAAUUCUACUACAGCCGAUGCCUCAUGCGGGGAAUCCGUUAAAGCAAAGAAGUGUCUUUCAUAUGAACCUGCUGAAUCCAACAAUCCCCACAAGGAAGCUGCAAAUGAAGAAACAGAAUGUGUCCCAGAUGAACUGACAAAUGGCAUCCAUACUCCUAUUGGGUGCUACAAUCAAAGUCAGCAAAGUCAAGAUGUUUGUGAAUGCAAUGAUGAUACACCUUAUGAAAAGAACAGCACACUAGUCAAUGGAGAGGAAUCAGGGCUGCCAGAAGAGAGAUUGUAUGAAUCAACCAGUCACAGUGCAUUGCGCAAUGAAUCGUUGACUGCUGACAUAGAUGCGGAUAUUCCUAUGGAUGAAGAGAAUGCUGCCAGAGAUGAAGAUUUCCCGCUUUCAACAAGAACUAGGGCAGUAGCAAAGUGCCUUCAUCAGCUAUUCUUGGACCAGAAGAGCCAGCAGCAAAGCAAUGUCCCCGUGACGCUCGGCCAGGCCCUCGAAGGCAGCAAGAGGAAAACCACAGCAAGAUUCUUCUAUGAAACUCUGAUCCUCAAGAGCCGCGGGUUGAUAGAUGUGAAUCAGGAGAAGCCCUAUGAGAACAUCACAAUCUCUGCGACUCCACAACUCGACGCGGUGCUGCAGAAUCCAGUGCCCCCUUCAACUUCUUAG